GGUAACAUUUACUAGCUUGCUAGAAGAUGACGAGUGGCGCAAGGGUGAGUAACGCGUAUACAAUCUACCUUUUACUGGGGGAUAGCCUUUAGAAAUGAAGAUUAAUAUCCCAUAGUACGUAGUUUUGGCAUCAAGACAACUUUAGAGUUUCGGCGGUAAAAGAUGAGUAUGCGUUCUAUUAGCUAGAUGGUGUGGUAACGGCACACCAUGGCAACGAUAGAUGGGGGCCCUGAAAGGGGGAUCCCCCACACUGGUACUGAGACACGGACCACACUCCUACGGGAGGCAUCAGUGAGGAAUAUUGGAGAAUGGGCGCGAGCCUGAUCCAUCCAUGCCGCGUGCAGGAAGACUGCCCUAUGGGUUGUAAACUGCUUUUAUACAAGAAGAAACCUCAUAACGUGUUCUGAGCUGACGGUACUGUAAGAAUAAGGAUCGGCUAACUCCUUGCCAGCAGCCGCGGUAAUACGGAGGAUCCAAGCGUUAUCCGGAAUCUUUGGGUUUAAAGGGUCCGUAAGUGGAUAAUUAAGUCAGGAGUGAAAGUUUGCAGCUCAACUGUAAAAUUGCCUUUGAUACUGGUUAUCUUGAAUUAUUGUGAAGUGGUUAAAAUAUGUAGUGUAGCGGUGAAAUGCAUAGAUAUUACAUAGAAUACCAAUUGCGAAAGCAGAUCACUAACAAUAUAUUGACACUGAUGGACGAAAGCGUGGGGAGCGAACAGGAUUAGAUACCCUGGUAGUCCACGCCGUAAACGAUGGAUACUAGCUGUUCGGACUUCGGUCUGAGUGGCUAAGCGAAAGUGAUAAGUAUCCCACCUGGGGAGUACGUUCGCA
rnacentral:rRNA from 1 species